rnacentral:misc_RNA from 1 species
UCCGGUUUGUCACCGUCAGUCUCCUUAGAGUUCCCACCAUCACGUGCUGGUAACUAAGGGCGAGGGUUGCGCUCGUUGCGGGACUUAACCCAACAUCUCACGACACGAGCUGACGACAGCCGUGCAGCACCUGUGUCCACGCCCCUUGCGGGGAGGAAUCCAUCUCUGGAAGCCGUCGUGACAUGUCAAGGGCUGGUAAGGUUCUUCGCGUUGCGUCGAAUUGAACCACAUGCUCCACCGCUUGUGCGGGCCCCCGUCAAUUCCUUUGAGUUUCGGUCUUGCGACCGUACUCCCCAGGCGGAGUGUUUCACGCGUUAGCUGGGCCCCUGAUCCACGUAGACCAAGGGCGAACACUCAUCGUUUACGGCAUGGACUAC